ensembl:snRNA U6 U6 spliceosomal RNA
UUGCUCGCUUCAGCAGCACAUAUACUAAAAUUGGACCAGGACAGAGAAGAUUAGCGUGGCCCCUGCCCAAGGAUGACAUGCAAAUUCAUGAAUAUUCACAGAUCAAU